rnacentral:tRNA from 1 species
GCGCGAGUGGUGGAAUUGGCAGACACAUACGUUUGAGGGGCGUAUGGAGCAAUCCGUGUGGGUUCAAGUCCCACCUCGCGCA